GCCGCGUUAGCGUAGUGGUAGCGCGUCUCACUUGUACGGCCGUUCUGGUUGCUGAGCCACUACGCUAUGAGAAGGUCACUCGUUCAAUCCGGGUACGUGGCA